rnacentral:lncRNA from 10 species
UGGCUGGCAGCCAAGAUUCAAGAGCACUGUUUUCUUGCUGUCAAAUCACAUUGCACCAACAUCAAGUUGGAUAUAAAAGUCCCCACAAGUAUCAAUAAAAGACUGAUGGUGCCUUUUAUUAUUCUUUGGGCUGAAGUGAGAAACUGGAAGGCUAAAAGACAUGCGGAUAAAUGUGACAGGCCGAGUAUGCUCUGUAGUGUCAGCUCCUUCCCAAAACCCCGCUAACACUAUGGCAAAGAAAAGGUAUAAACUUACAAGAACGAAGAAAAAUGGAGAGAAAAAGAUAUCAGAGAAGAAAGAUCAGCAGAACUUGGGAACGUGAAAAGUGGAAGGCUGAGUGCUGUCUUGGCAGAAGGGAAAGCUGAGAGGCAGCAGGCCAGCUCACAUCCAAGAACCUCGGAAGAGCUCAGGAAUUGAAGAGUUGUUAGGCUAAAAUGAGACCAUAGCUGUGAAUAUCCUUUGGCAGGAAAUGCAGUAGAGAAUGCAAGAGGCAACAAUGAUGGCUGGAAGAGAAGGGCCCCAAGAUAAUAAAGCCACACAUGGACCGGGCAGAGAUCCCUGAGUGGCCACUG